UAACAGAGGUAGCUUGCUACUUGCUGACGACCGGCGCACGGGUGCGUAACGCGUAUAGAAUCUACCUUAUACUGGGGGAUAGCCUUUGGAAACGAAGAUUAAUACCCCAUAGUAUGUUUGAAUGGCAUCAUUUGGACAUUAAAGUUUCGGCGGUAUAAGAUGACUAUGCGUUCUAUUAGUUUGUUGGUAAGGUAACGGCUUACCAAGACUACGAUAGAUAGGGGUCCUGAGAGGGAGAUCCCCCACACUGGUACUGAGACACGGACCAGACUCCUACGGGAGGCAGCAGUGAGGAAUAUUGGACAAUGGAGGCAACUCUGAUCCAGCCAUGCCGCGUGUAGGAAGACUGCCCUAUGGGUUGUAAACUACUUUUAUAUGGGAAGAAUAAGGUCUACGUGUAGACUGAUGACGGUACCAUAAGAAUAAGCACCGGCUAACUCCGUGCCAGCAGCCGCGGUAAUACGGAGGGUGCAAGCGUUAUCCGGAAUCAUUGGGUUUAAAGGGUCCGUAGGCGGGCAUAUAAGUCAGUGGUGAAAGUCUGUGGCUCAACCAUAGAAUUGCCAUUGAUACUGUAUGUCUUGAAUUAUUGUGAAGUGGUUAGAAUAUGUAGUGUACC
rnacentral:rRNA from 1 species